AACGAACGCUGGCGGCAUGCCUAACACAUGCAAGUCGAACGAGACCUUCGGGUCUAGUGGCGCACGGGUGCGUAACGCGUGGGAACCUGCCCUUAGGUUCGGAAUAACUCCCCGAAAGGGGUGCUAAUACCGGAUAAUGUCUUCGGACCAAAGAUUUAUCGCCUUUGGAUGGGCCCGCGUUGGAUUAGCUAGUUGGUAUGGUAAAAGCCUACCAAGGCGACGAUCUAUAGCUGGUCUGAGAGGAUGAUCAGCCACACUGGGACUGAGACACGGCCCAGACUCCUACGGGAGGCAGCAGUGGGGAAUAUUGGACAAGGGGCGAAAGCCUGAUCCAGCAAUGCCGCGUGAGUGAUGAAGGCCUUAGGGUUGUAAAGCUCUUUUACCCGGGAUGAUAAUGACAGUACCGGGAGAAUAAGCGCCGGCUAACUCCGUG
rnacentral:rRNA from 1 species